rnacentral:tRNA from 1 species
GCGGGGGUAACUCAGUUGGUAGAGUGUCUGCCUUCCAAGCAGAUUGUCGCGGGUUCGAGUCCCGUCCCCCGCUCCA